UCCCUUGUUCGAUCUGAGCCUGGUUAUGUCGCUACAGUCUCUGCUCUGGUACAAGCAGGCGUAACCUUGCUGAAUGAGCUGCACUCUCUGCCCAGGAGAGGAGGGGUGUACACUCCAGCAGCUGCAUCCCAUAAAACCAGUCUCCUUGACCGCCUCCACAGCAUUUGUUAAAAAAGGCCAAACGUUCAUAAAGAAGGCCCUUACACUUCACAAUUCACAUGAGGC